AUGAAGUGGUACUUGGCAAGUCUGCGUAGUUGUACAUGGGCUGUUGCACACGUGACGAAUCCGAGCCUUUUGGGGUCGGUCUUGGAGAGGAAUGGUCGUAGUGGUACUUGUUGGUCUCGGUCGGGGCGGCGAAACAUAGUCGAACUUGAGGUGGUCUUGACGAUCCCAAAAACGCUCCUGCUCGAGGAGGUCUCUGUCUCGGUCUUCACCGGUCGUGGUACGUGGCAAAAGGGAUCCACAAAUGCGAUAGUCCUCGGACUUGAGGCUUCGUGCCCGGAGAUGGCCUUGGCCUUGGCAGUGAUUCGCAAAGGGGCCUUUCAGAGACAACCCAGCGAAGGCAUGCUGCGAUCGAAGGGCAUGGGUCUUCUACCCGCAAGGAACAAAACAUGGCGGCGACUGCGGCUGAUGCGACCGAGCAAAAGAGUGAGCAAGGCCAAAUUGGCCAUGGUGGAUAUGAACAAGGAGGGGCCAGGAGGUGAUGCAGGGGUUCGAACAUCGCGGACGAAGGCUGGAGGCGGGGCAUGGCGCAGGACCUGUGGGCGCUAG
rnacentral:rRNA from 1 species